rnacentral:rRNA from 1 species
AGUCGAACGAUGAUGCCCAGCUUGCUGGGCGGAUUAGUGGCGAACGGGUGAGUAAUACGUGAGUAACCUGCCCUUGACUCUGGGAUAAGCCUGGGAAACUGGGUCUAAUACUGGAUACUACCUCUUGCCGCAUGGUGGGUGGUGGAAAGGGUUUUACUGGUUUUGGAUGGGCUCACGGCCUAUCAGCUUGUUGGUGGGGUAAUGGCUCACCAAGGCGACGACGGGUAGCCGGCCUGAGAGGGUGACCGGCCACACUGGGACUGAGACACGGCCCAGACUCCUACGGGAGGCAGCAGUGGGGAAUAUUGCACAAUGGGCGGAAGCCUGAUGCAGCGACGCCGCGUGAGGGAUGACGGCCUUCGGGUUGUAAACCUCUUUCAGUAGGGAAGAAGCGAGAGUGACGGUACCUGCAGAAGAAGCGCCGGCUAACUACGUGCCAGCAGCCGCGGUAAUACGUAGGGCGCAAGCGUUGUCCGGAAUUAUUGGGCGUAAAGAGCUCGUAGGCGGUUUGUCGCGUCUGCUGUGAAAGCCCGGGGCUCAACCCCGGGUCUGCAGUGGGUACGGGCAGACUAGAGUGCAGUAGGGGAGACUGGAAUUCCUGGUGUAGCGGUGAAAUGCGCAGAUAUCAGGAGGAACACCGAUGGCGAAGGCAGGUCUCUGGGCUGUUACUGACGCUGAGGAGCGAAAGCAUGGGGAGCGAACAGGAUUAGAUACCCUGGUAGUCCAUGCCGUAAACGUUGGGCACUAGGUGUGGGGGACAUUCCACGUUUUCCGCGCCGUAGCUAACGCAUUAAGUGCCCCGCCUGGGGAGUACGGCCGCAAGGCUAAAACUCAAAGGAAUUGACGGGGGCCCGCACAAGCGGCGGAGCAUGCGGAUUAAUUCGAUGCAACGCGAAGAACCUUACCAAGGCUUGACAUUCACCGGACCGCCCCAGAGAUGGGGUUUCCCUUCGGGGCUGGUGGACAGGUGGUGCAUGGUUGUCGUCAGC